GUAGUCGUGGCCGAGUGGUUAAGGCGAAGGACUUGAAAUCUAUUGGGGUCUCCCCACGCAGGUUCAAAUCCUGCCAACUACG
rnacentral:tRNA from 2 species